rnacentral:rRNA from 1 species
CAGUCGCCACGGGAAUACGUAGGGGGCAAGCGUUGUCCGGAAUCAUUGGGCGUAAAGCACGUGUAGGCGGCUCGAUAAGUCUGCUGUGAAAGUCCAGGGCUCAACCCUGGAAUGCCGGUGGAAACUGUCGAGCUCGAGUCCGGAAGAGGCAAGUGGAAUUCCUGGUGUAGCGGUGAAAUGCGUAGAGAUGUGGAGGAACACCAGUGGCGAAGGCGACUCUCUGGUCUGUAACUGACGCUGAGGAGCGAAAGCGUGGGGAGCGAACAGGAUUAGAUACCCCUGUAGUCCCUGUCUCUUAUAC